rnacentral:lncRNA from 1 species
AGAGAGAAACUGGAAAUGAUCACCGACUCCAUGGAAAUAAAUAAAUAAAAAAGCGUGUGAGCAAGAGUAAACGAAGAGAGACACGUGUAGGGGUGAGAGGAGAGAAUAAUAAGAAAAUGGAAAAAUUCAAAGAGAUAAAGAGAAAGGUGGUUUGGAAUUGGGAGGGAUGAUAAGCAACAGAGAAACGGCCAUGGGUACGGAUGAAGAAGCGUUUUAGAAAAGAAAGAGAGUGUUUGUGUAGGGAUGAGAGGAGAGAAUAAUAAGAAAAUGGAAAAAUUCAAAGAGAUAAAGAGAAAGGUGGUUUGGAAUUGGGAGGGAUGAUAAGCAACAGAGAAACGGCCAUGGGUACGGAUGAAGAAGCGUUUUAGAAAAGAAAGAGAGUGUUUGUGACGUUUUUAUUAUAGUAAUUUUUUUAUUUUUUUAUUUUUUUAUUUUUUAUUUAACGGAAGAAGAACAUGAGAAGGGGUUAACUGUGAUGAUUGGUGUUUCAAUUAUCAUCACAUGAAAAAGACACGGUGGCAUGCAUCUGGAUGCAUUUGCAUCUUCUUAACUUCACUCCCAAAUUCCAAAUAACAUGGGUAGCGUAAUAUUCAUUCAUAUAUUUAUCCUAAGAUCGAAGAUUCGACGUUCUCAAAUAAAUGAAAUACAAAGAUUCGACGCACCACAUAUGCCAGCUGUAUAAUAU